rnacentral:lncRNA from 1 species
GUGCUCCAGGCCUGCUUGGUGUGGACAUGGUGGUGAGCCGUGGCAAGGACCAGAAUGGAUCACAGAUGAUCGUUGGCCAACAGGUGGCAGAAGAGGAAUUCCUGCCUUCCUCAAGAGGAACACCUACCCCUUGGCUAAUGCUGGGGUCGGAUUUUGAUUUAUAUUUAUCUUUUGGAUGUCAGUCAUACAGUCUGAUUUUGUGGUUUGCUAGUGUUUGAAUUUAAGUCUUAAGUGACUAUUAUAGAAAUGUAUUAAGAGGCUUUAUUUGUAGAAUUCACUUUAAUUACAUUUAAUGAGUUUUUGUUUUGAGUUCCUUAAAAUUCCUUAAAGUUUUUAGCUUCUCAUUACAAAUUCCUUAACCUUUUUUUGGCAGUAGAUAGUCAAAGUCAAAUCAUUUCUAAUGUUUUAAAAAUGUGCUGGUCAUUUUCUUUGAAAUUGACUUAACUAUUUUCCUUUGAAGAGUCUGUAGCACAGAAACAGUAAAAAAUUUAACUUCAUGACCUAAUGUAAAAAAGAGUGUUUGAAGGUUUACACAGGUCCAGGCCUUGCUUUGUUCCCAUCCUUGAUGCUGCACUAAUUGACUAAUCACCUACUUAUCAGACAGGAAACUUGAAUUGCUGUGGUCUGGUGUCCUCUAUUCAGACUUAUUAUAUUGGAGUAUUUCAAUUUUUCGUUGUAUCCUGCCUGCCUAGCAUCCAGUUCCUCCCCAGCCCUGCUCCCAGCAAACCCCUAGUCUAGCCCCAGCCCUACUCCCACCCCGCCCCAGCCCUGCCCCAGCCCCAGUCCCCUAACCCCCCAGCCCUAGCCCCAGUCCCAGUCCUAGUUCCUCAGUCCCGCCCAGCUUCUCUCGAAAGUCACUCUAAUUUUCAUUGAUUCAGUGCUCAAAAUAAGUUGUCCAUUGCUUAUCCUAUUAUACUGGGAUAUUCCGUUUACCCUUGGCAUUGCUGAUCUUCAGUACUGACUCCUUGACCAUUUUCAGUUAAUGCAUACAAUCCCAUUUGUCUGUGAUCUCAGGACAAAGAAUUUCCUUACUCGGUACGUUGAAGUUAGGGAAUGUCAAUUGAGAGCUUUCUAUCAGAGCAUUAUUGCCCACAAUUUGAGUUACUUAUCAUUUUCUCGAUCCCCUGCCCUUAAAGGAGAAACCAUUUCUCUGUCAUUGCUUCUGUAGUCACAGUCCCAAUUUUGAGUAGUGAUCUUUUCUUGUGUACUGUGUUGGCCACCUAAAACUCUUUGCAUUGAGUAAAAUUCUAAUUGCCAAUAAUCCUACCCAUUGGAUUAGACAGCACUCUGAACCCCAUUUGCAUUCAGCAGGGGGUCGCAGACAACCCGUCUUUUGUUGGACAGUUAAAAUGCUCAGUCCCAAUUGUCAUAGCUUUGCCUAUUAAACAAAGGCACCCUACUGCGCUUUUUGCUGUGCUUCUGGAGAAUCCUGCUGUUCUUGGACAAUUAAAGAACAAAGUAGUAAUUGCUAAUUGUCUCACCCAUUAAUCAUGAAGACUACCAGUCGCCCUUGCAUUUGCCUUGAGGCAGCGCUGACUACCUGAGAUUUAAGAGUUUCUUAAAUUAUUGAGUAAAAUCCCAAUUAUCCAUAGUUCUGUUAGUUACACUAUGGCCUUUGCAAACAUCUUUGCAUAACAGCAGUGGGACUGACUCAUUCUUAGAGCCCCUUCCCUUGGAAUAUUAAUGGAUACAAUAGUAAUUAUUCAUGGUUCUGCGUAACAGAGAAGACCCACUUAUGUGUAUGCCUUUAUCAUUGCUCCUAGAUAGUGUGAACUACCUACCACCUUGCAUUAAUAUGUAAAACACUAAUUGCCCAUAGUCCCACUCAUUAGUCUAGGAUGUCCUCUUUGCCAUUGCUGCUGAGUUCUGACUACCCAAGUUUCCUUCUCUUAAACAGUUGAUAUGCAUAAUUGCAUAUAUUCAUGGUUCUGUGCAAUAAAAAUGGAUUCUCACCCCAUCCCACCUUCUGUGGGAUGUUGCUAACGAGUGCAGAUUAUUCAAUAACAGCUCUUGAACAGUUAAUUUGCACAGUUGCAAUUGUCCAGAGUCCUGUCCAUUAGAAAGGGACUCUGUAUCCUAUUUGCACGCUACAAUGUGGGCUGAUCACCCAAGGACUCUUCUUGUGCAUUGAUGUUCAUAAUUGUAUUUGUCCACGAUCUUGUGCACUAACCCUUCCACUCCCUUUGUAUUCCAGCAGGGGACCCUUACUACUCAAGACCUCUGUACUAGGACAGUUUAUGUGCACAAUCCUAAUUGAUUAGAACUGAGUCUUUUAUAUCAAGGUCCCUGCAUCAUCUUUGCUUUACAUCAAGAGGGUGCUGGUUACCUAAUGCCCCUCCUCCAGAAAUUAUUGAUGUGCAAAAUGCAAUUUCCCUAUCUGCUGUUAGUCUGGGGUCUCAUCCCCUCAUAUUCCUUUUGUCUUACAGCAGGGGGUACUUGGGACUGUUAAUGCGCAUAAUUGCAAUUAUGGUCUUUUCCAUUAAAUUAAGAUCCCAACUGCUCACACCCUCUUAGCAUUACAGUAGAGGGUGCUAAUCACAAGGACAUUUCUUUUGUACUGUUAAUGUGCUACUUGCAUUUGUCCCUCUUCCUGUGCACUAAAGACCCCACUCACUUCCCUAGUGUUCAGCAGUGGAUGACCUCUAGUCAAGACCUUUGCACUAGGAUAGUUAAUGUGAACCAUGGCAACUGAUCACAACAAUGUCUUUCAGAUCAGAUCCAUUUUAUCCUCCUUGUUUUACAGCAAGGGAUAUUAAUUACCUAUGUUACCUUUCCCUGGGACUAUGAAUGUGCAAAAUUCCAAUGUUCAUGGUCUCUCCCUUUAAACCUAUAUUCUACCCCUUUUACAUUAUAGAAAGGGAUGCUGGAAACCCAGAGUCCUUCUCUUGGGACUCUUAAUGUGUAUUUCUAAUUAUCCAUGACUCUUAAUGUGCAUAUUUUCAAUUGCCUAAUUGAUUUCAAUUGUCUAAGACAUUUCAAAUGUCUAAUUGAUUAGAACUGAGUCUUUUAUAUCAAGCUAAUAUCUAGCUUUUAUAUCAAGCUAAUAUCUUGACUUCUCAGCAUCAUAGAAGGGGGUACUGAUUUCCUAAAGUCUUUCUUGAAUUUCUAUUAUGCAAAAUUGCCCUGAGGCCGGGUGUGGUGGCUCACACCUGUAAUCCCAGCACUUUGGGAGGCUGAGGUGGGAAGAUCCCUUACUGCCAGGAGUUUGAGACCAGCCUGGCCAACAUUAAAAAAAAAAAAAAGUAAGACAAUUGCCCUGGAAUCCCAUCCCCCUCACACCUCCUUGGCAAAGCAGCAGGAGUGCUAACUAGCUAGUGCUUCUUCUCUUAUACUGCUUAAAUGCGCAUAAUUAGCAGUAGUUGAUGUGCCCCUAUGUUAGAGUAGAAUCCCGCUUCCUUGCUCCAUUUGCAUUACUGCAGGAGCUUCUAACUAGCCUGAAUUCACUCUCUUGGACUGUUAAUGUGCAUACUUAUAUUUGCUGCUGUACUUUUUUACCAUGUAAGGACCCCACCCACUGUAUUUACAUCCCAGCUGGAAGUACCUACUACUUAAGACCCUUAGACUAGUAAAGUUAGCGUGCAUAAUCUUAGGUGUUAUAUACACAUUUUCAGUUGCAUACAGUUGUGCCUUUUAUCAGGACUCCUGUACUUAUCAAAGCAGAGAGUGCUAAUCAAUAUUAAGCCCUUCUCUUCGAACUGUAGAUGGCAUGUAAUUGCAGUUGUCAAUGGUCCUUCAAUUAGACUUGGGUUUCUGACCUAUCACACCCUCUUUGCUUUAUUGCAUGGGGUACUAUUCACUUAAGGCCCCUUUCUCAAACUGUUAAUGUGCCUAAUGACAAUUACAUCAGUAUCCUUCCUUUUGAAGGACAGCAUGGUUGGUGACACCUAAGGCCCCAUUUCUUGGCCUCCCAAUAUGUGUGAUUGUAUUUGUCGAGGUUGCUAUGCACUAGAGAAGGAAAGUGCUCCCCUCAUCCCCACUUUUCCCUUCCAGCAGGAAGUGCCCACCCCAUAAGACCCUUUUAUUUGGAGAGUCUAGGUGCACAAUUGUAAGUGACCACAAGCAUGCAUCUUGGACAUUUAUGUGCGUAAUCGCACACUGCUCAUUCCAUGUGAAUAAGGUCCUACUCUCCGACCCCUUUUGCAAUACAGAAGGGUUGCUGAUAACGCAGUCCCCUUUUCUUGGCAUGUUGUGUGUGAUUAUAAUCGUCUGGGAUCCUAUGCACUAGAAAAGGAGGGUCCUCUCCACAUACCUCAGUCUCACCUUUCCCUUCCAGCAGGGAGUGCCCACUCCAUAAGACUCUCACAUUUGGACAGUCAAGGUGCGUAAUUGUUAAGUGAACACAACCAUGCACCUUAGACAUGGAUUUGCAUAACUACACACAGCUCAACCUAUCUGAAUAAAAUCCUACUCUCAGACCCCUUUUGCAGUACAGCAGGGGUGCUGAUCACCAAGGCCCUUUUUCCUGGCCUGGUAUGCGUGUGAUUAUGUUUGUCCCGGUUCCUGUGUAUUAGACAUGGAAGCCUCCCCUGCCACACUCCACCCCCAAUCUUCCUUUCCCUUCCGGCAGGGAGUGCCCUCUCCAUAAGACGCUUACGUUUGGACAAUCAAGGUGCACAGUUGUAAGUGACCACAGGCAUACACCUUGGACAUUAAUGUGCAUAACCACUUUGCCCAUUCCAUCUGAAUAAGGUCCUACUCUCAGACCCCUUUUGCAGUACAGCAGGGGUGCUGAUCACCAAGGCCCCUUUUCUUGGCCUGUUAUGUGCGUGAUUAUAUUUGUCUGGGUUCCUGUGUAUUAGACAAGGAAGCCUUCCCCCCGCCCCCACCCCCACUCCCAGUCUUCCUUUCCCUUCCAGCAGGGAGUGCCCCCUCCAUAAGAUCAUUACAUUUGGACAAUCAAGGUGCACAAUUAUAAGUGACCACAGCCAUGCACCUUGGACAUUAUUGGACAUUAAUGUGCGUAACUGCACAUGGCCCAUCCCAUCUGAAUAAGGUCCUACUCUCAGAUGCCCUUUGCAGUACAGCAGGGGUACUGAAUCACCAAGGCCCUUUUUCUUGGCCUGUUAUGUGUGUGAUUAUAUUUAUCCCAGUUUCUGUGUAAUAGACAUGAAAGCCUCCCCUGCCACACCCCACCUCCAAUCUUCCUUUCCCUUCCACCAGGGAGUGUCCACUCCAUAUACCCUUACAUUUGGACAAUCAAGGUGCACAAUUGUAAGUGAGCAUAGGCACUCACCUUGGACAUGAAUGUGCAUAACUGCACAUGGCCCAUCCCAUCUGAAUAAGGUCCUACUCUCAGACCCUUUUUGCAGUACAGCAGGGGUGCUGAUCACCAAGGCCCCUUUUCCUGGCCUGUUAUGUGUGUGAUUAUAUUUGUUCCAGUUCCUGUGUAAUAGACAUGGAAGCCUCCCCUGCCACACUCCACCCCCAAUCUUCCUUUCCCUUCUGGCAGGAAGUACCCGCUCCAUAAGACCCUUACAUUUGGACAGUCAAGGUGCACAAUUGUAUGUGACCACAACCAUGCACCUUGGACAUAAAUGUGUGUAACUGCACAUGGCCCAUCCCAUCUGAAUAAGGUCCUACUCUCAGACCCCUUUUGCAGUACAGUAGGUGUGCUGAUAACCAAGGCCCCUCUUCCUGGCCUGUUAACGUAUGUGAUUAUAUUUGUCUGGGUUCCAGUGUAUAAGACAUGGAAGCCUCCCCUGCCCCACCCCACCCUCAAUCUUCCUUUCCCUUCUGGCAGGGAGUGCCAGCUCCAUAAGAACCUUACAUUUGGACAGUCAAGGUGCACAAUUCUAAGUGACCGCAGCCAUGCACCUUGGUCAAUAAUGUGUGUAACUGCACACGGCCUAUCUCAUCUGAAUAAGGCCUUACUCUCAGACCCCUUUUGCAGUACAGCAGGGGUGCUGAUAACCAAGGCCCAUUUUCCUGGCCUGUUAUGUGUGUGAUUAUAUUUGUCCAGGUUUCUGUGUACUAGACAAGGAAGCCUCCUCUGCCCCAUCCCAUCUACGCAUAAUCUUUCUUUUCCUCCCAGCAGGGAGUGCUCACUCCAUAAGACCCUUACAUUUGGACAAUCAAGGUGCACAAUUGUAAGUGACCACAACCAUGCAUCUUGGAAAUUUAUGUGCAUAACUGCACAUGGCUUAUCCUAUUUGAAUAAAGUCCUACUCUCAGACCCCCUUUGCAGUAUAGCUGGGGUGCUGAUCACUGAGGCCUCUUUGCUUGGCUUGUCUAUAUUCUUGUGUACUAGAUAAGGGCACCUUCUCAUGGACUCCCUUUGCUUUUCAACAAGGAGUACCCACUACUUUUUAAGAUUCUUAUAUUUGUCCAAAGUACAUGGUUUUAAUUGACCACAACAAUGUCCCUUGGACAUUAAUGUAUGUAAUCACCACAUGGUUCAUCCUAAUUAAACAAAGUUCUACCUUCUCACCCUCCAUUUGCAGUAUACCAGGGUUGCUGACCCCCUAAGUCCCCUUUUCUUGGCUUGUUGACAUGCAUAAUUGCAUUUAUGUUGGUUCUUGUGCCCUAGACAAGGAUGCCCCACCUCUUUUCAAUAGUGGGUGCCCACUCCUUAUGAUCUUUACAUUUGAACAGUUAAUGUGAAUAAUUGCAGUUGUCCACAACCCUAUCACUUCUAGGACCAUUAUACCUCUUUUGCAUUACUGUGGGGUAUACUGUUUCCCUCCAAGGCCCCUUCUGGUGGACUAUCAACAUAUAAUUGAAAUUUUCUUUUGUCUUUGUCAGUAGAUUAAGGUCAUACCCCAUCACCUUUCCUUUGUAGUACAACAGGGUGUCCUGAUCAACCAAAGUCCUGUUGUUUUGGACUGUUAAUAUGUGCAAUUACAUUUGCUCCUGAUCUGUGCACUAGAUAAGGAUCCUACCUACUUUCUUAGUGUUUUUAGCAGGUAGUGCCCACUACUCAAGACUGUCACUUGGAAUGUUCAUGUGCACAAACUCAAUUCUCUAAGCAUGUUCCUGUACCACCUUUGCUUUAGAGCAGGGGGAUGAUAUUCACUAAGUGCCCCUUCUUUUGGACUUAAUAUGCAUUAAUGCAAUUGUCCACCUCUUCUUUUAGACUAAGAGUUGAUCUCCACAUAUUCCCCUUGCAUCAGGGGCAUGUUAAUUAUGAAUGAACCCUUUUCUUUUAAUAUUAAUGUCAUAAUUGUAUUUGUGGACCUGUGUAGGAGAAAAAGACCCUAUGUUCCUCCCAUUACCCUUUGGAUUGCUGCUGAGAAGUGUUAACUACUCAUAAUCUCAGCUCUUGGACAAUUAAUAGCAUUAAUAACAAUUAUCAAGGGCACUGAUCAUUAGAUAAGACUCCUGCUUCCUCGUUGCUUACAUCGGGGGUACUGACCCACUAAGGCCCCUUGUACUGUUAAUGUGAAUAUUUGCAAUUAUAUAUGUCUCCUUCUGGUAGAGUGGGAUAUUAUGCCCUAGUAUCCCCUUUGCAUUACUGCAGGGGCUGCUGACUACUCAAAACUUCUCCUGGGACUGUUAAUAGGCACAAUGGCAGUUAUCAAUGGUUUUCUCCCUCCCUGACCUUGUUAAGCAAGCGCCCCACCCCACCCUUAGUUUCCCAUGGCAUAAUAAAGUAUAAGCAUUGGAGUAUUCCAUGCACUUGUCUAUCAAACAGUGGUCCAUACUCCCAACCCUUUUGCAUUGCGCCAGUGUGUAAAAUCACAGGUAGCCAUGGUGUCAUGCUUUAUAUACGAAGUCUUCCCUCUCUCUGCCCCUUGUGUGCCCUUGGCCCCUUUUUACAGACUAUUGCUCACAAUCUCAGGUGUCCAUAUUUGCAGCUAUUAGGUAAGAUUGUGCUGUCUCCCUCUUCCCUUCCCUCUGCCCUGCCCCUUUUGCCUCUUUGCUGGGUAAUGUUGACCAGACAAGGCCCUUUCUCUUGGACUUAAACAAUUCUCAGUUGCACUUUCCUUGGUCCCACCCAUUAUACAUGAACCCCUCUACUUCCUUUCGCAUUGCUUCUGAGUAUGCUGACUACCCAAAGCCCCUUCUGUGUUAUUAAUAAACACAGUACUGAUUGUCCCAUUUUUCAGCCCAUCAGUCCAAGAUCUCCCUACCACUUUGGUGUGUUGGUGCAGUGUUGACUAUGAAAAGCAGGCCUGAACUAGGUGGAUAAGCCUUCACUCAUUUUCUUUCAUUUAUUAAUGAUCCUAGUUUCAAUUAUUGUCAGAUUCUGGGGACAAGAACCAUUCUUGCCCACCUGUGUUACUGCUUUACUGUGCAAAAUACUGAAGGCAAGUCAGACCCAGGGAGCUGGAUUGCCAUCCUUUAUUUUGUGUUUCCAGUGUACACUAUAAAAUUGUCUCCCCAGGAAGGAAGGUUGGCACUUUCUCUGCAUUCUUCUUUCCAGAGCAGAUUGCCUGGUUAAGAAUCUCUUGUUGUCCCCUUUGUAUAUUGUUAUUGUAAAGUGCCAAAUGCCAGGAUACAGCCAGAAAAAUUGCUUAUUAUUAUUAAAAAAAUUUUUUUAAGAAAGACAUCUGGAUUGUAGGGUGGACUCGAUAACCUGGUCAUUAUUUUUUUGAAGCCAAAAUAUCCAUUUAUACUAUGUACCUGGUGACCAGUGUCUCUCAUUUUAACUGAGGGUGGUGGGUCUGUGGAUAGAACACUGACUCUUGCUAUUUUAAUAUCAAAGAUAUUCUAGAGUGGAACUCUUAAGACCAGUAUCUUUGUGUGGGCUUUACCAGCAUUCACUUUUAGAAAAACUACCUAAAUUUUAUAAUCCUUUAAUUUCUUCAUCUGGAGCACCUGCCCCUACUUAUUUCAAGAAGAUUGCAGUAAAACGAUUAAAUGAGGGAACAUAUGCAGAGGUGCUUUUAAAAAGCAUAUGCCACCUUUUUUAUUAAUUAUUAUAUAAAAUGAAGCAUUUAAUUAUAGUAAUAAUUUGAAGUAGUUUGAAGUACCACACUGAGGUGAGGACUUAAAAAUGAUAAGACGAGUUCCCUAUUUUAUAAGAAAAAUAAGCCAAAAUUAAAUAUUCUUUUGGAUAUAAAUUUCAACAGUGAGAUAGCUGCCUAGUGGAAAUGAAUAAUAUCCCAGCCACUAGUGUACAGGGUGUUUUGUGGCACAGGAUUAUGUAAUAUGGAACUGCUCAAGCAAAUAACUAGUCAUCACAACAGCAGUUCUUUGUAAUAACUGAAAAAGAAUAUUGUUUCUCGGAGAAGGAUGUCAAAAGAUCGGCCCAGCUCAGGGAGCAGUUUGCCCUACUAGCUCCUCGGACAGCUGUAAAGAAGAGUCUCUGGCUCUUUAGAAUACUGAUCCCAUUGAAGAUACCACGCUGCAUGUGUCCUUAGUAGUCAUGUCUCCUUAGGCUCCUCUUGAUCUUCCUCAGAAGAAUAGGCUUGUUGUUUUACAGUGUUAGUGAUCCAUUCCCUUUGACGAUCCCUAGGUGGAGAUGGGGCAUGAGGAUCCUCCAGGGGAAAAGCUCACUACCACUGGGCAACAACCCUAGGUCAGGAGGUUCUGUCAAGAUACUUUCCUGGUCCCAGAUAGGAAGAUAAAGUCUCAAAAACAACCACCACACGUCAAGCUCUUCAUUGUUCCUAUCUGCCAAAUCAUUAUACUUCCUACAAGCAGUGCAGAGAGCUGAGUCUUCAGCAGGUCCAAGAAAUUUGAACACACUGAAGGAAGUCAGCCUUCCCACCUGAAGAUCAACAUGCCUGGCACUCUAGCACUUGAGGAUAGCUGAAUGAAAGUGGUCUGUGUCUUGUCUUAGACAUAUCUCUCAUUUUUCAUUUUGUUGCUAUUUCUCUUUGCUCUCCUAGAUGUGGCUCUUCUUUCACGCUUUAUUUCAUGUCUCCUUUUUGGGUCACAUGCUGUGUGCUUUUUGUCCUUUUCUUGUUCUGUCUACCUCUCCUUUCUCUGCCUACCUCUCUUUUCUCUUUGUGAACUGUGAUUAUUUGUUACCCCUUCCCCUUCUCGUUCGUUUUAAAUUUCACCUUUUUUCUGAGUCUGGCCUCCUUUCUGCUGUUUCUACUUUUUAUCUCACAUUUCUCAUUUCUGCAUUUCCUUUCUGCCUCUCUUGGGCUAUUCUCUCUCUCCUCCCCUGCGUGCCUCAGCAUCUCUUGCUGUUUGUGAUUUUCUAUUUCAGUAUUAAUCUCUGUUGGCUUGUAUUUGUUCUCUGCUUCUUCCCUUUCUACUCACCUUUGAGUAUUUCAGCCUCUUCAUGAAUCUAUCUCCCUCUCUUUGAUUUCAUGUAAUCUCUCCUUAAAUAUUUCUUUGCAUAUGUGGGCAAGUGUACGUGUGUGUGUGUCAUGUGUGGCAGAGGGGCUUCCUAACCCCUGCCUGAUAGGUGCAGAACGUCGGCUAUCAGAGCAAGCAUUGUGGAGCGGUUCCUUAUGCCAGGCUGCCAUGUGAGAUGAUCCAAGACCAAAACAAGGCCCUAGACUGCAGUAAAACCCAGAACUCAAGUAGGGCAGAAGGUGGAAGGCUCAUAUGGAUAGAAGGCCCAAAGUAUAAGACAGAUGGUUUGAGACUUGAGACCCGAGGACUAAGAUGGAAAGCCCAUGUUCCAAGAUAGAUAGAAGCCUCAGGCCUGAAACCAACAAAAGCCUCAAGAGCCAAGAAAACAGAGGGUGGCCUGAAUUGGACCGAAGGCCUGAGUUGGAUGGAAGUCUCAAGGCUUGAGUUAGAAGUCUUAAGACCUGGGACAGGACACAUGGAAGGCCUAAGAACUGAGACUUGUGACACAAGGCCAACGACCUAAGAUUAGCCCAGGGUUGUAGCUGGAAGACCUACAACCCAAGGAUGGAAGGCCCCUGUCACAAAGCCUACCUAGAUGGAUAGAGGACCCAAGCGAAAAAGGUAUCUCAAGACUAACGGCCGGAAUCUGGAGGCCCAUGACCCAGAACCCAGGAAGGAUAGAAGCUUGAAGACCUGGGGAAAUCCCAAGAUGAGAACCCUAAACCCUACCUCUUUUCUAUUGUUUACACUUCUUACUCUUAGAUAUUUCCAGUUCUCCUGUUUAUCUUUAAGCCUGAUUCUUUUGAGAUGUACUUUUUGAUGUUGCCGGUUACCUUUAGAUUGACAGUAUUAUGCCUGGGCCAGUCUUGAGCCAGCUUUAAAUCACAGCUUUUACCUAUUUGUUAGGCUAUAGUGUUUUGUAAACUUCUGUUUCUAUUCACAUCUUCUCCACUUGAGAGAGACACCAAAAUCCAGUCAGUAUCUAAUCUGGCUUUUGUUAACUUCCCUCAGGAGCAGACAUUCAUAUAGGUGAUACUGUAUUUCAGUCCUUUCUUUUGACCCCAGAAGCCCUAGACUGAGAAGAUAAAAUGGUCAGGUUGUUGGGGAAAAAAAAGUGCCAGGCUCUCUAGAGAAAAAUGUGAAGAGAUGCUCCAGGCCAAUGAGAAGAAUUAGACAAGAAAUACACAGAUGUGCCAGACUUCUGAGAAGCACCUGCCAGCAACAGCUUCCUUCUUUGAGCUUAGGUGAGCAGGAUUCUGGGGUUUGGGAUUUCUAGUGAUGGUUAUGGAAAGGGUGACUGUGCCUGGGACAAAGCGAGGUCCCAAGGGGACAGCCUGAACUCCCUGCUCAUAGUAGUGGCCAAAUAAUUUGGUGGACUGUGCCAACGCUACUCCUGGGUUUAAUACCCAUCUCUAGGCUUAAAGAUGAGAGAACCUGGGACUGUUGAGCAUGUUUAAUACUUUCCUUGAUUUUUUUCUUCCUGUUUAUGUGGGAAGUUGAUUUAAAUGACUGAUAAUGUGUAUGAAAGCACUGUAAAACAUAAGAGAAAAACCAAUUAGUGUAUUGGCAAUCAUGCAGUUAACAUUUGAAAGUGCAGUGUAAAUUGUGAAGCAUUAUGUAAAUCAGGGGUCCACAGUUUUUCUGUAAGGGGUCAAAUCAUAAAUACUUUAGACUGUGGGCCAUAUGGUUUCUGUUACAUAUUUGUUUUUUAAACAACGUUUUUAUAAGGUCAAAAUCAUUCUUAGUUUUUGAGCCAAUUGGAUUUGGCCUGCUGUUCAUAGCUUACCACCCCCUGAUGUAUUAUUUGUUAUUCAGAGAAAAUUUCUGAAUACUACUAGUUUCCUUUUCUGUGCCUGUCCCUGUGCUAGGCACUAAAAAUGCAAUGAUUAUUGAUAUCUAGGUGACCUGAAAAAAAAUAGUGAAUGUGCUUUGUAAACUGUAAAGCACUUGUAUUCUACUGUGAUAAGCGUUGUGGAUACAAAGAAAGGAGCAAGCAUAAAAAAGUGCUCUUUCAAAAGGAUAUAGUACUAUGCAGACACAAGGAAUUGUUUGAUAAAUGAAUAAAUUAUAUGUAUAUUUGAGGCCAAUUUGUGUUUGCUGCUCUGGUAAUUUUGAGUAAAAAUGCAGUAUUCCAGGUAUCAGAAACGAAAACACAUGGAAACUGCUUUUAAACUUUAAAAUAUACUGAAAACAUAAGGGACUAAGCUUGUUGUGGUCACCUAUAAUGUGCCAGAUACCAUGCUGGGUGCUAGAGCUACCAAAGGGGGAAAAGUAUUCUCAUAGAACAAAAAAUUUCAGAAAGGUGCAUAUUAAAGUGCUUUGUAAACUAAAGCAUGAUACAAAUGUCAAUGGGCUACAUAUUUAUGAAUGAAUGAAUGGAUGAAUGAAUAUUAAGUGCCUCUUACAUACCAGCUAUUUUGGGUACUGUAAAAUACAAGAUUAAUUCUCCUAUGUAAUAAGAGGAAAGUUUAUCCUCUAUACUAUUCAGAUGUAAGGAAUGAUAUAUUGCUUAAUUUUAAACAAUCAAGACUUUACUGGUGAGGUUAAGUUAAAUUAUUACUGAUACAUUUUUCCAGGUAACCAGGAAAGAGCUAGUAUGAGGAAAUGAAGUAAUAGAUGUGAGAUCCAGACCGAAAGUCACUUAAUUCAGCUUGCGAAUGUGCUUUCUAAAUUAUAAAGCACUUGUAAAUGAAAAAUUUGAUGCUUUCUGUAUGAAUAAAACUUUCUGUAAGCUAGGUAUUGUCUCUACAAAAUUCUCAUUGUAUAGUUAAACCACAGUGAGAAGGGUUCUAUAAGUAGUUAUACAAACCAAGGGUUUAAAUACCUGUUAAAUAGAUCAAUUUUGAUUGCCUACUAUGUGAACUCACUGUUAAAGGCACUGAAAAUUUAUCAUAUUUCAUUUAGCCACAGCCAAAAAUAAGGCAAUACCUAUGUUAGCAUUUUGUGAACUCUAAGGCACCAUAUAAAUGUAACUGUUGAUUUUCUCACUUGGUGCUGGGUACUAGGUUUAUAAAAUUGUAUGAUAGUUAUUAUAUUGUGCAAAUAAAGUAGGAAAAUUUGAAUAACAAUGAUUAUCUUUUGAAUACGCAUACGCAAGGGAUUGGUUGUCUGAAGAAUGCCACUAUAGUAGUUAUCUAUUGUGUGCCAAUCUCAUUGCUAGGCAUUGGGGAUGCAAAGAUAAACCAUCUUUAUUGUGUCUUGGGUAGCAGAAGAAAAUAUGUGUAAAAUCAAUUUAUAAUUUGUAAACUGCCACCCAUAUAUAAGCUAUAUCUGCUGAAUGAUCAUUGAUUACUCUUAUCCUUAGAGAUAACAACUGGGGGCACAAACAUUUAUUAUCAUUAUUGAACCUACAACAGAGAUCUAUGUGUAGAUUUACAAAGCCUACAGUUCUAUACAGAUAGGAAUGAACUAUUGGCUUACUGAAUGGUGAUUACUUUCUGUGGGGCUCGGAACUACAUGCCCUAGGAUAUAAAAAUGAUGUUAUCAUUAUAGAGUGCUCACAGAAGGAAAUGAAGUAAUAUAGGUGUGAGAUCCAGACCAAAAGUCAUUUAACAAGUUUAUUCAGUGAUGAAAACAUGGGACAAAUGGACUAAUAUAAGGCAGUGUACUAAGCUGAGUAGAGAGAUAAAGUCCUGUCCAGAAGAUACAUGCUUCCUGGCCUGAUUGAGGAGAUGGAAAAUUUUUGCAAAAAACAAGGUGUUGUGGUCUUCCAUCCAGUUUCUUAAGUGCUGAUGAUAAAAGUGAAUUAGACCCACCUUGACCUGGCCUACAGAAGUAAAGGAGUAAAAAUAAAUGCCUCAGGCGUGCUUUUUGAUUCAUUUGAUAAACAAAGCAUCUUUUAUGUGGAAUAUACCAUUCUGGGUCCUGAGGAUAAGAGAGAUGAGGGCAUUAGAUCACUGACAGCUGAAGAUAGAAGAACAUCUUUGGUUUGAUUGUUUAAAUAAUAUUUCAAUGCCUAUUCUCUGCAAGGUACUAUGUUUCGUAAAUUAAAUAGGUCUGGCCCAGAAGACCCACUCAAUUGCCUUUGAGAUUAAAAAAAAAAAAAAAAAGAAAGAAAAAUGCAAGUUUCUUUCAAAAUAAAGAGACAUUUUUCCUAGUUUCAGGAAUCCCCCAAAUCACUUCCUCAUUGGCUUAGUUUAAAGCCAGGAGACUGAUAAAAGGGCUCAGGGUUUGUUCUUUAAUUCAUUAACUAAACAUUCUGCUUUUAUUACAGUUAAAUGGUUCAAGAUGUAACAACUAGUUUUAAAGGUAUUUGCUCAUUGGUCUGGCUUAGAGACAGGAAGACAUAUGAGCAAUAAAAAAAAGAUUCUUUUGCAUUUACCAAUUUAGUAAAAAUUUAUUAAAACUGAAUAAAGUGCUGUUCUUAAGUGCUUGAAAGACGUAAACCAAAGUGCACUUUAUCUCAUUUAUCUUAUGGUGGAAACACAGGAACAAAUUCUCUAAGAGACUGUGUUUCUUUAGUUGAGAAGAAACUUCAUUGAGUAGCUGUGAUAUGUUCGAUACUAAGGAAAAACUAAACAGAUCACCUUUGACAUGCGUUGUAGAGUGGGAAUAAGAGAGGGCUUUUUAUUUUUUCGUUCAUACGAGUAUUGAUGAAGAUGAUACUAAAUGCUAAAUGAAAUAUAUCUGCUCCAAAAGGCAUUUAUUCUGACUUGGAGAUGCAACAAAAACACAAAAAUGGAAUGAAGUGAUACUCUUCAUCAAACAGAAGUGACUGUUAUCUCAACCAUUUUGUUAAAUCCUAAACAGAAAACAAAAAAAAUCAUGACGAAAAGACACUUGCUUAUUAAUUGGCUUGGAAAGUAGAAUAUAGGAGAAAGGUUACUGUUUAUUUUUUUUCAUGUAUUCAUUCAUUCUACAAAUAUAUUCGGGUGCCAAUAGGUACUUGGUAUAAGGUUUUUGGCCCCAGAGACAUGGGAAAAAAAUGCAUGCCUUCCCAGAGAAUGCCUAAUACUUUCCUUUUGGCUUGUUUUCUUGUUAGGGGCAUGGCUUAGUCCCUAAAUAACAUUGUGUGGUUUAAUUCCUACUCCGUAUCUCUUCUACCACUCUGGCCACUACGAUAAGCAGGUAGCUGGGUUUUGUAGUGAGCUUGCUCCUUAAGUUACAGGAACUCUCCUUAUAAUAGACACUUCAUUUUCCUAGUCCAUCCCUCAUGAAAAAUGACUGACCACUGCUGGGCAGCAGGAGGGAUGAUGACCAACUAAUUCCCAAACCCCAGUCUCAUUGGUACCAGCCUUGGGGAACCACCUACACUUGAGCCACAAUUGGUUUUGAAGUGCAUUUACAAGGUUUGUCUAUUUUCAGUUCUUUACUUUUUACAUGCUGACACAUACAUACACUGCCUAAAUAGAUCUCUUUCAGAAACAAUCCUCAGAUAACGCAUAGCAAAAUGGAGAUGGAGACAUGAUUUCUCAUGCAACAGCUUCUCUAAUUAUACCUUAGAAAUGUUCUCCUUUUUAUCAUCAAAUCUGCUCAAGAAGGGCUUUUUAUAGUAGAAUAAUAUCAGUGGAUGAAAACAGCUUAACAUUUUACCAUGCUUAAGUUUUAAGAAUAAAAUAAAAAUUGGAAAUAAUUGGCCAAAAUUGAAAGGAAAAAUUUUUUUAAAAUUUCUCUAAAUGUAGGCCUGGCUGGGCUUUGACCUUUUCCGUUUUUAAAUCACUCACAGAGGGUGGGACAGGAGGAAGAGUGAAGGAAAAGGUCAAACCUGUUUUAAGGGCAACCUGCCUUUGUUCUGAAUUGGUCUUAAGAACAUUACCAGCUCCAGGUUUAAAUUGUUCAGUUUCAUGCAGUUCCAAUAGCUGAUCAUUGUUGAGAUGAGGACAAAAUCCUUUGUCCUCACUAGUUUGCUUUACAUUUUUGAAAAGUAUUAUUUUUGUCCAAGUGCUUAUCAACUAAACCUUGUGUUAGGUAAGAAUGGAAUUUAUUAAGUGAAUCAGUGUGACCCUUCUUGUCAUAAGAUUAUCUUAAAGCUGAAGCCAAAAUAUGCUUCAAAAGAAGAGGACUUUAUUGUUCAUUGUAGUUCAUACAUUCAAAGCAUCUGAACUGUAGUUUCUAUAGCAAGCCAAUUACAUCCAUAAGUGGAGAAGGAAAUAGAUAAAUGUCAAAGUAUGAUUGGUGGAGGGAGCAAGGUUGAAGAUAAUCUGGGGUUGAAAUUUUCUAGUUUUCAUUCUGUACAUUUUUAGUUAGACAUCAGAUUUGAAAUAUUAAUGUUUACCUUUCAAUGUGUGGUAUCAGCUGGACUCAGUAACACCCCUUUCUUCAGCUGGGGAUGGGGAAUGGAUUAUUGGAAAAUGGAAAGAAGAAAGUAACUAAAAGCCUUCCUUUCACAGUUUCUGGCAUCACUACCACUACUGAUUAAACAAGAAUAAGAGAACAUUUUAUCAUCAUCUGCUUUAUUCACAUAAAUGAAGUUGUGAUGAAUAAAUCUGCUUUUAUGCAGACACAAGGAAUUAAGUGGCUUCGUCAUUGUCCUUCUACCUCAAAGAUAAUUUAUUCCAAAAGCUAAGAUAAAUGGAAGACUCUUGAACUUGUGAACUGAUGUGAAAUGCAGAAUCUCUUUUGAGUCUUUGCUGUUUGGAAGAUUGAAAAAUAUUGUUCAGCAUGGGUGACCACCAGAAAGUAAUCUUAAGCCAUCUAGAUGUCACAAUUGAAACAAACUGGGGAGUUGGUUGCUAUUGUAAAAUAAAAUAUACUGUUUUGAAAA